rnacentral:rRNA from 1 species
UACGGGGGGGGCAAGCGUUGUUCGGAAUUACUGGGCGUAAAGGGCUCGUAGGCUGCCAACUAAGUCAGACGUGAAAUCCCUCGGCUUAACCGGGGAACUGCGUCUGAUACUGGAUGGCUUGAGUUUGGGAGAGGGAUGCGGAAUUCCAGGUGUAGCGGUGAAAUGCGUAGAUAUCUGGAGGAACACCGGUGGCGAAGGCGGCAUCCUGGACCAAUACUGACGCUGAGGAGCGAAAGCCAGGGGAGCAAACGGGG